rnacentral:rRNA from 1 species
GACGAACGCUGGCGGCGUGCUUAACACAUGCAAGUCGAACGGAAAGGCCCCUUUGGGGGUACUCGAGUGGCGAACGGGUGAGUAACACGUGAGUAACCUGCCCUUGACUUCGGGAUAACUUCAGGAAACUGGGGCUAAUACCGGAUAGGAAUCCUUGCUGCAUGGUGGGGGUUGGAAAGCUUCGGCGGGUUUGGAUGGACUCGCGGCUUAUCAGCUUGUUGGUGGGGUAGUGGCUUACCAAGGCUUUGACGGGUAGCCGGCCUGAGAGGGCGACCGGCCACAUUGGGACUGAGGUACGGCCCAGACUCCUACGGGAGGCAGCAGGGGGGAAUAUUGCACAAUGGGCGGAAGCCUGAUGCAGCAACGCCGCGGGCGGGAUGACGGCCUUCGGGUUGUAAACCGCUUUCAGCAGGUGCGAAGCUUGGGGUGACGGUACCUGCAGAAGAAGCACCGGCUAACUACGUG